rnacentral:rRNA from 1 species
CAGUAGCCACGGGAAUACGGAGGGUGCAAGCGUUAAUCGGAAUUACUGGGCGUAAAGCGCACGCAGGCGGUCUGACAAGUCAGAUGUGAAAUCCCCGGGCUUAACCUGGGAACUGCAUUUGAAACUGUCAGGCUGGAGUCUUGUAGAGGGGGGUAGAAUUCCAGGUGUAGCGGUGAAAUGCGUUGAGAUCGGAAAGAACACCAACGGCGAAAGCACUCUGCUGGGCCGACACUGACACUGAGAGACGAAAGCUAGGGGAGCAAAUGGGAUUAGAUACCCCCGUAGUCCCUGUCUCUUAUAC